UACGUAGGGGGCAAGCGUUGUCCGGAUUUACUGGGCGUAAAGAGCGUGUAGGCGGCCAGGUAGGUCGGUUGUGAAAACUGGAGGCUCAACCUUCAGAGGUCGACCGAAACCAUCUGGCUAGAGUCCGGGAGAGGAGAGUGGAAUUCCUGGUGUAGCGGUGAAAUGCGCAGAUAUCAGGAAGAACACCCGUGGCGAAAGCGGCUCUCUGGAACGGUACUGACGCUGAGGAGCGAAAGCGUGGGGAGCGAACAGG
rnacentral:rRNA from 1 species